rnacentral:rRNA from 1 species
AUUGAACGCUGGCGGCAGGCCUAACACAUGCAAGUCGAGCGGAGCGGCCGACGGGUGAGUAAUGCCUAGGAAUCUGCAUGGUUGUGGGGGAUAACGUCAGGACACGGGCGCUAAUCCCGCAUUCUCUCACCUGAGCCUAGGUCGGAUUAGCUAGUUGGUGGGUUAAAGGCCUACCAAGGCGACGAUCCGUAACUGGUCUGAGAGGAUGAUCAGUCACACUGGAACUGAGACACGGUCCAGACUCCUACGGGAGGCAGCAGUGGGGAAUAUUGGACAAUGGGCGAAAGCCUGAUGCAGCCAUGCCGCGUGUGUGAAGAAGGUCUUCGGAUUGUAAAGCACUUUAAGUUGGGAGGCGUUACCAACAGAAUAAGCACCGGCUAACUUCGUGCCAGCAGCCGCGGUAAUUC